UACGUAGGGUGCAAGCGUUUGUCCGGAAUCAUUGGGCGUAAAGAGCGUGUAGGCGGCUUGGUAAGUCCGCUGUGAAAGUCCAGGGCUCAACCCUGGAAUGCCGGUGGAAACUGUCAAGCUUGAGUCCGGAAGAGGCGAGUGGAAUUCCUGGUGUAGCGGUGAAAUGCGCAGAUAUCAGGAGGAACACCAAUGGCGAAGGCAGCUCGCUGGGACGGUACUGACGCUGAGACGCGAAAGCGUGGGGAGCAAACAGG
rnacentral:rRNA from 1 species